rnacentral:lncRNA from 1 species
CUAGAGACACAGAAUACUAAACAAAUUCAUAAUAUAGCAUGGAACAAGAUGGCAUAACAUAAAUACGACAGCCACAAGUAAUAGUAAAUAGAGAAAAGUAAACAGAUUUGUAAUAAAGCAUAAAACAAGGUAUCAAAACAAGAAUAAUGCCCCCACCAAGUAAUCCCCUACACUAGCGACCCAAACUGACCCUAGCCUUCUGCCCUUAUUCGCAUCUUCUAGAUCUUUCUAUCUAGGGUCAUGUUCUCAGUGAGCUGUAACUGCUCCAUGUCCUGCCUAAUCACCUCUCCCCAGUACUUCUUCGGCCUACCCCUACCCCGCCUAAAACCAUCCAAAGCUAGCCUCUCACACCUACAAACAGGGGCAUCGGUGCCCCUCCUUAUCACGUGUCCAAACCAUCUCAAUCGAACUUCCCGUAUCUUAUUCUCCACUGGAGUCACACCAACCUUUUCCCUGAUAGUCUCAUUCUGAACUCUAUCCCCCCUAGU